rnacentral:rRNA from 1 species
ACCAACAGGGAUUGCCCCAGUAACGGCGAGUGAAGCGGCAACAGCUCAGAUUUGAAAUCUGGCCCUUUCGGGGUCCGAGUUGUAAUCUGUAGAGGAUGCUUUUGGCGACGCGCCUUCCGAGUCCCCUGGAACGGGGCGCCAGAGAGGGUGAGAGCCCCGUAUGGUUGGACGCCGAACCUCUGUAAAGCUCCUUCGACGAGUCGAGUAGUUUGGGAAUGCUGCUCAAAAUGGGAGGUAAAUUUCUUCUAAAGCUAAAUACCGGCCAGAGACCGAUAGCGCACAAGUAGAGUGAUCGAAAGAUGAAAAGCACUUUGAAAAGAGGGUCAAAUAGCACGUGAAAUUGCUGAAAGGGAAGCGCUUGUGACCAGACUUGCGCCCGGUUGAUCAUCCAGCGUUCUCGCUGGUGCACUCUGCCGGGCUCAGGCCAGCAUCGGCUCUCCCAGGGGGAUAAAGGUCGCGGGAACGUAGCUCUCUCCGGGGAGUGUUAUAGCCCGUGGCGGAAUGCCCUUAGGGGGGGCCGAGGCCCGCGUUCGCAAGGAUGCUGGCGUAAUGGUCACCAGCGACCCGUCUUGAAACACGGACCAAGGAGUCAAGCAUUAGGGCGAGUCUUUGGGUGCAAAACCCGCAGGCGCAAUGAAAGUGAACGGAGGUGAGAGCUUCGGCGCAUCAUCGACCGAUCCUGAUGUUCUCGGAUGGAUUUGAGUAAGAGCCUUACCGCUUGGACCCGAAAGAUGGUGAACUAUGCCUGAAUAGGGUGAAGCCAGAGGAAACUCUGGUGGAGGCUCGCAGCGGUUCUGACGUGCAAAUCGAUCGUCAAAUUUGGGCAUGGGGGCGAAAGACUAAUCGAACCAUCUAGUAGCUGGU